UUGGAAGGAAAUUAUAUAUGUAUAUAUACACGCUACAAAAGGGAUUACCGGUAGGGAAUUAGAGAGGAAUUAAAAUUGUAGCCACUAAAAACUCUUACUGACGCACAUGCCAACGGGGGCUGCUGGAGUUGAAGAGAGACAUAUACAAUUGUCAACAGCUUGGGAAGAGACACACUUACACGGUGAAGAGCCAAGAAAAAGUGAAGAAUUAAUUAUGUUCUGUCAAAUUUCGAUGAUGUCGUUCCUCUUUUAUAUGUUUAAUUCCAACAUUAUGCUAGGCUAUGGUUUUUCAUGUAUUGGAUGGAUGACAAAAUUGUUUAAUUCUUAGUUUUAAUUCGAGACAUGUGUUUUUAUCUUAAUUCUUGUUUUGUGAUUCCAGUAGUAUGCCUAUUUACAUUGUUUUAAUGCUUGCGUACCAUUAGGACAAUAAGUUGUUUAUUCGUAGUGUUGAGAAACUCAUGGUAGGUAAAACACUGUUAUUGGAACACACAGACAAUAAAUGUUAGGAAUAAUAUUUGUGACGUAUGCGAUCAUAUGUGAUAAUCUUAAAUGUCAAUACAUGUUUGCCAUAUGAAUUCGGACUAGGAAUAAGAUUGUCUCGUGGUAACCAUAAAUUUAUUAUAUAUUGGAAAAGAAUAAUAAAUGAAUGUGGAAUUAUCGAUCGUCGCAAUUGCAUGAAUUAAGAUAAUUAUUAUUGGUUGAGAAUUAGAAUUAAAAUUGAUCGGUGGCGUCAAAAAUCCAAUACGUUCACACAUUUGAUUUUUUAAGACCAAUUUUCAUUGAUUUCUUAAGUUUUAGUUCAUUAUUCAUCAAUCGUCUUUCGGUUGCAAACACAAAUUUAAAUAUAUCAAAUAUACUAGAAUUAAUCCUUAUUUCCUAUGGAACGAUAACUCUCUCAUCAUGAUUAUUACUUAUACAACGAACCCGUACGCUUGCGGGAUUUUGACGAACAAGUUUUUGGCGUUGGGGAAUAACGGUGUUAAUUUUAGUUAUUAGUUAUUUUAAAUUCAUUUUUAUUUUUUUAUUUUUAUUUCAUUUUUAGUUGUUGUUUUUAGGCUACCAUUACACCGCUUAAUUUUGUUGUGUUUUGAUGCUUUUUAGGCAACUUUAGUUUAUGCAAAAUUUCGACGAGCCAGAUCUUCUUUCGAUAGACCAUGAAAUCGAAAAAAUAUUUAGAAAUCACAAAAGAGUUAAACGUCAAGCAAGGAGAAUGGCUGAUAGCCAAAAUCAACCACAGAAUCAAGUUCAGCUUCACGAGCAAAUACCGCAGCCAAAUCAACCGAGAGCUAUCCAGAACAAAACUCCUAUCUUAGUUGGAGAUUACGUCAAUCCAAUUCCCACACCAGUGCAACCUGCUGUGGUAUAUCUUCCCUUCGGACAACCUAAUUUUCACCUGAUGUCAUCAAUUUGUUUCAAAAUCACCAAGACAUCAAGUUUUUUUGGAAAAGCCACGGAGAAUCCUCAUGAGCAUAUUUUUUGUUUUCUCAUGUUAUGUGAAGUGAUCAGUUACGAAGGAAAAUUAGCAGAUGCAUUCCGAAUGUGAUUAUUUCCUCAUACCUUGAAGGACGCUGCUAGAGAAUGAUUCCUCAGUUUACCUCCAGGGAGCAUUCAAUCAUGGAACGAUAUGGUUCAAAAAUUCACUAUGAAAUUUUUUCCACCUUCUCGAGUUCACCAAAUUAGGAAUGAUGUCCACACCUUCAAGUAAAAAGAUCUCGAGAGCUACCCUGAGUUAUGGGAGAGGUUCAAGAAUUUUUUAGAAAAUGCCCCAGUCUUGACAUUACUAAGCAGGCUCAGCAAUAUCUCUUCUACUACAAUCUGAAACAGGAGUUCAAGAAUAUGAUAGAUGCUUCAAAAGGAUCGAUUAUGAAAUUUGAUGUCGAUGAGGCCUAUGAUUUGUAUGAAAAAAUAGUUGAAGAUAGGGAAGCUCCAGGGAAAAUAUCAGGGUUACACAACGUGGAUGUAGUGAUAGCACUGACCACGCAAAUAGAAGUUCUUACAAUGAAAAGGGAAAAUCUAUCUAAAUCAGUCAACAUGGUACACCGAUCGCCACCUGUUUGCGAAGGCUGUGGAGCGGAUCAUGCUAGUACAUGCUGCCUUUUGGCGUCUACGCAUAUUAAUCAGCCUAAAGAAGUAAGCUACGCGCAGAACUUUCAGAGACAACAAAAUAAUCCCUUCUCCAACAUAUAUAAUCCGGGUUGGAGGAACCAUCCAAAUUUUUCAUGUUCCAAUAAUCAGGGACAAGAACAGGGAGAAAGCAAUCAAAAUAAACUACCAGAGUUCCAACAGCAACAAAGCAAAGAAGAAAGCCAUCGUUGGAAGAUUUGCUAACUCAAUACAUUACUAAAACUGAGACUAACUUUUCGAACCAACAAGCCUCGAUCAAGAAUUUGGAACAACGGGUUGGAUAAAUUGCAGCUGCACUAUUAGGUAGAGCUCAAGGGACAUUGUCUAGCAAUACUGAAAAAAAUACUAAGGAGCAGGUCAAAGCAAUCACUACAAGUAGUGGCGUCCAAUUACCCGAAAUAUAUGUAAAGCGGCCAGCAACUAUCAUAGAAAAGGCACCUACCAUGGGCGAAGAGCAAGUGGAUAAAUCAAACAAAGCCACAGAGUAAAAUUAAGUUGAGUCAUCAGAUAGUCCACAGAAGAAGGCAACUCCUGUCAAAGCAUAUGUGUCGCUGAUCCCAUUUCCACAGAAAUUGCAAAAACAUAAGCUCGACAAGCAAUUUCAGAAAUUUUUAGAUGUGUUCAAGAAGCUGCACAUUAACAUACCAUUUGUUGAAGCUUUAGCUCAGAUGCCUAGUUACGCCAAGUUCAUGAAAGAUAUUCUAUCAAAUAAGCGGAAGCUAGAGGAUAAUGAAACUGUCAUGCUUACUGAGGAGUGUAGCGCAAGUCUCCAACAUAAGUUACCACCGAAGUUAAAAGAUCCAGGGAGUUUUACUAUUCCUUGUAACAUUGGUAAUUUAUAUAUAGAUAAAGCAUUGUGUGAUUUAAGAGCUAGCAUUAAUUUAAUGUCUUUAUCUCUUUUUCGAAAAUUAGGUUUGGGAGAAGCAAAACCGGCUACAGUUUUACCGUAGGUGGCUGACAGGUCAAUCAAGUACCCUUGAAGUAUUUGUGAAGAUAUUUUGGUGAAGGUCGACAAGUUUAUCUUCUCAGCGGACUUUAUUAUUCUGGAUAUGGAGGAAGAUAGGGACGUCCCUCUCAUAUUGGGUCACCCAUUUUUGGAUACGGGAACAGCUCUGAUAAAUGUACAAAAGGGUCAAUUGAUAUUGAGGUUAAAUGAAGAAGAACUGAUAAUUAACAUAUUUAGAGCUUUUAGAUUUCAAAGAGAAUUGGAUUCUUACAUGCAGAUUGAUGUAAUAAAAGAAGCGGUGCCAAAGACAUUCAAACAAGAUCACCCUCAAGAUCCGCUUGAGGCGUGUUUAGUGCAUUCUCAGUAUUUACCAUCAGAAAAUGAGGAAGCAGAAGAAUAUGCACGUUAUUUGACAGUCAUACCACCAUUCUUCAAGCAACCACGAUUAGAGCUCGGUGAAAGACCCACAACACUUUUAGCAUCUAUAGAACAAGCUCCAGCUCUUGAACUCAAAUAGCUGCCCACUCAUCUUCGCUAUGCAUACUUGGGGGAAAAGAAUUCACUUCUAGUAAUUAUCUCGAACAAUCUUAUACUGUGAAAAAGUUUGUAUGGAUUAUCUGAGAUUAACAAGAUAAAAUUGAGUGAAAGUCUUAAACUGGAAGUCAAUUUGCUUGAAUAGGUGUGUGAUAAGGGACAUUGCACUAAUCAAGGCAUAUAUUUUGAAAUUUAAAAUUUCUCUUCAGAGAUUUUAUGACUUGAGCAAUUAAGUCUGCAAGGGUAUCUUAAAACCUGGUGUCCUAAAGUUAUCUGAUUUGGGAGUUGUCGG
rnacentral:lncRNA from 1 species